rnacentral:rRNA from 1 species
UGGAGGGGGCAGCUCGCUUAACAUGCAGUCGAACGAUGAUCUCCCGCUUGCGGGGGUGAUUAGUGGCGAACGGGUGAGUAAUACGUGAGUAACCUGCCCUUGACUCUGGGAUAAGCCUGGGAAACCGGGUCUAAUACUGGAUACGACCCCCUGUCGCAUGGUGGGGGGUGGAAAGGGUUUGACUGGUUUUGGAUGGGCUCACGGCCUAUCAGCUUGUUGGUGGGGUAAUGGCUCACCAAGGCGACGACGGGUAGCCGGCCUGAGAGGGUGACCGGCCACACUGGGACUGAGACACGGCCCAGACUCCUACGGGAGGCAGCAGUGGGGAAUAUUGCACAAUGGGCGGAAGCCUGAUGCAGCGACGCCGCGUGAGGGAUGACGGCCUUCGGGUUGUAAACCUCUUUCAGCAGGGAAGAAGCCACAAGUGACGGUACCUGCAGAAGAAGCGCCGGCUAACUACGUGCCAGCAGCCGCGGUAAUACGUAGGGCGCAAGCGUUGUCCGGAAUUAUUGGGCGUAAAGAGCUCGUAGGCGGUUUGUCGCGUCUGCUGUGAAAGCCCGGGGCUCAACCCCGGGUCUGCAGUGGGUACGGGCAGACUAGAGUGCAGUAGGGGAGACUGGAAUUCCUGGUGUAGCGGUGAAAUGCGCAGAUAUCAGGAGGAACACCGAUGGCGAAGGCAGGUCUCUGGGCUGUUACUGACGCUGAGGAGCGAAAGCAUGGGGAGCGAACAGGAUUAGAUACCCUGGUAGUCCAUGCCGUAAACGUUGGGCACUAGGUGUGGGGGACAUUCCACGUUCUCCGCGCCGUAGCUAACGCAUUAAGUGCCCCGCCUGGGGAGUACGGCCGCAAGGCUAAAACUCAAAGGAAUUGACGGGGGCCCGCACAAACGGCGGAGCAUGCGGAUUAAUUCGAUGCAACGCGAAGAACCUUACCAAGGCUUGACAUUCACCGGACUACCUCAGAGAUGGGGUUUCCCUUCGGGGUCGGUGGACAGGUGGUGCAUGGUUGUCGUCAGCUCGUGUCGUGAGAUGUUGGGUUAAGUCCCGCAACGAGCGCAACCCUCGUUCUAUGUUGCCAGCACGUGAAUGGUGGGGACUCCAUAGGAAAACUGCCCGGGUUCAACUCCGGAAGAAUGGUGAGGGAUGAAGGUCAAAUCAUCUUGGCCCCCUAAAGCC